rnacentral:rRNA from 1 species
CGGCGGACGGGUGAGUAACGCGUGGGUAACCUACCCUGUACACACGGAUAACAUACCGAAAGGUAUGCUAAUACAGGAUAAUAUAUUUGAGAGGCAUCUCUUGAAUAUCAAAGGUGAGCCAGUACAGGAUGGACCCGCGUCUGAUUAGCUAGUUGGUAAGGUAACGGCUUACCAAGGCGACGGUCAGUAGCCGACCUGAGAGGGUGAUCGGCCACAUUGGAACUGAGACACGGUCCAA